rnacentral:lncRNA from 10 species
UUUUUUUGGUAGAAACAGGUUCUCCCUAUGUUGCCCAAGCUGGUCCUGAACCCCUAGCCUCAAGUAAUCCUCCUGCUUCAACCUACCAAAGCAUUGGGAUUACAAGUUUGACCCACCAUGGUCAGUCCAGGGUAGGAAAUGGAAUCUUAACAACUAUCACACGAGCUUUGAGGGGAUCCUUCUCCAGAUGAGCCUUCAGUUGCGACCUCAGCCUUGGACAUCAUCUGCAUCUGGAUUCCUGACCCAGAGCAACUGAAUUUUAUGGAACCUUGUAUUCUGUUGAAUACCAGAAUUAUAUCAGCAAUCCCCAAGUCACCAAAUGGGCAUCAUCAUGACAGCAGGUUUGGAAUAGUUCACCAGUGAAGUCAUCUCAACCAGCACAGGGCCUUGACUCCUAACAACAAUCACACGAACUUGGAAGAGGAUCCUUCCCCAGCUGAAACUUCACUUGAGACCUUCUCAUUGGCCAUCAUCGACAUCUGGAUUCAUGAUACAGAGAAACUUGAGUAAUGAUGACAAUAGCAGUCCAGCCUGCAUGGAUGCUGACAUGGAUGCUGUCUCCCAUUCUUACCACUGGAUGUCAAGAACUGCUAGAUGCGAUCCAGCCAGUCUGUACUCGACUCUCAGUUCCAUCUUCUCAACUCACAGUGUCUUCCAAAGUCCAUGCCACACCACAGCCUGGAAGAUCUCCCAAGGCUUUGAAUAACUCACCAGUGAAGUCAUCUUGACCUGGACAGAAAUUGAAUCCUCCCAAGAAUCCCAGGAGCUUGGAAGGGGAUCCUUCCCCAGAUGAGCCUUCCCUUGAAAUCUCUGCCAGGCAUCUGACCCAGAGAAACU